rnacentral:rRNA from 1 species
AUUGAACGCUGGCGGCAUGCUUUACACAUGCAAGUCGAACGGCAGCGCGGGCUUCGGCCUGGCGGCGAGUGGCGAACGGGUGAGUAAUACAUCGGAACGUGCCCAGUAGUGGGGGAUAGCUCGGCGAAAGCCGGAUUAAUACCGCAUACGACCUGAGGGUGAAAGCGGGGGAUCUUCGGACCUCGCGCUAUUGGAGCGGCCGAUGGCAGAUUAGCUAGUUGGUGGGGUAAAGGCCUACCAAGGCGACGAUCUGUAGCUGGUCUGAGAGGAGGGCCAGCCACACUGGGACUGAGACACGGCCCAGACUCCUACGGGAGGCAGCAGUGGGGAAUUUUGGACAAUGGGCGAAAGCCUUAUCCAGCAAUGCCGCGUGUGUGAUGAAGGCCUUCGGGUUGUAAAGCACUCUUGGCGGGAACGAAAAGGACUGUGCCAAUACCACGGUUCGAUGACGGUACCCGCAGAAUAAGCACCGGCUAACUACGUG